AUUGAACGCUGGCGGCAUGCCUUACACAUGCAAGUCGAACGGUAACAGGGAGCUUGCUCCGCUGACGAGUGGCGAACGGGUGAGUAAUGUAUCGGAACGUACCUUUUAGUGGGGGAUAACGUAGCGAAAGUUACGCUAAUACGGCAUAUUCUCUGAGGAGGAAAGCAGGGGACCUUCGGGCCUUGCGCUAAUAGAGCGGCUGAUAUCAGAUUAGCUAGUUGGUGAGGUAAAGGCUCACCAAGGCGACGAUCUGUCGCGGGUCUGAGAGGAUGAUCCGCCACACUGGAACGGAGACACAGGCCAGACUCCUACGGGAGGCAGCAGUGGGGAAUGUUGGACAAUGGGGGCAACCCUGAUCCAGCCAUGCCGCGUGAGUGAAGAAGGCCUUCGGGUUGUAAAGCCCUUUCGGCCGGGAAAAAAUCGCAUGGGUUAAUACCCUGUGUGGAUGAUGGUACCGGAAUAAGAAGCACCGGCUAACUACGUGCCAGCCGCCGCAGUAA
rnacentral:rRNA from 1 species